rfam:Ovis aries breed Texel chromosome 10, whole genome shotgun sequence.
UCCCUGGCAGUCCAGUGGUUACGACUCUACACUUUCACAGUCGAAGGCCCAGGUUUGAUUCCUGGUCAGGGAA